AUUGAACGCUGGCGGCAUGCUUUACACAUGCAAGUCGAGCGGUAACAGGCCUUCGGGUGCUGACGAGUGGCGAACGGGUGAGUAAUGCAUCGGAACGUGCCCAGAGGUGGGGGAUAACGCAGCGAAAGCUGUGCUGAUACCGCAUGUGAUCUGAGGAUGAAAGCGGGGGACCAAGCAGCAAUGUUUGGCCUCGCGCCUCUGGAGCGGCCGAUGUCAGAUUAGGUAGUUGGUGGGGUAAAGGCCUACCAAGCCGACGAUCUGUAGCUGGUCUGAGAGGACGACCAGCCACACUGGGACUGAGACACGGCCCAGACUCCUACGGGAGGCAGCAGUGGGGAAUUUUGGACAAUGGGCGCAAGCCUGAUCCAGCAAUGCCGCGUGCGGGAAGAAGGCCUUCGGGUUGUAAACCGCUUUUGUACGGAACGAAAAGGCUCUGGCUAAUACCUGGGGCUGAUGACGGUACCGUAAGAAUAAGCACCGGCUAACUACGUG
rnacentral:rRNA from 1 species